GCUCGUAGUUGGAUUUCCGGCGUGAGGGAUCAGUCUGACUUCUAGUCAGUACUUGGUCCUCUCAUGCCGUCCUUGAAUGGUGCAUCCUGGCAUUAAGUUGUCGGGGUGAGAGCCGUUCAUCGUUUACUGUGAGAAAAUUAGAGUGUUCAAAGCAGGCUUAUGCCGUUGAAUAUAUUAGCAUGGAAUAAUAAGAUAGGACUUUGGUACUAUUUUGUUGGUUUGAGAACCAAGGUAAUGAUCAAUAGGGACAGUUGGGGGUAUUCGUAUUCAGUUGUCAGAGGUGAAAUUCUUAGAUUUCCGGAAGACGAACUACUGCGAAAGCAUUUACCA
rnacentral:rRNA from 1 species